AUUGAACGCUGGCGGCAUGCCUUACACAUGCAAGUCGAACGGCAGCACGGGGGCAACCCUGGUGGCGAGUGGCGAACGGGUGAGUAAUGCAUCGGAACGUGCCCAGUAGUGGGGGAUAACCAGUCGAAAGACUGGCUAAUACCGCAUACGACCCAAGGGUGAAAGCGGGGGACCGUAAGGCCUUGCGCUAAUAGAUGAGCCUAAGUCGGAUUAGCUAGUUGGUGGGGUAAAGGCCUACCAAGGCGACGAUCUGUAGCGGGUCUGAGAGGAUGAUCCGCCACACUGGGACUGAGACACGGCCCAGACUCCUACGGGAGGCAGCAGUGGGGAAUAUUGGACAAUGGGGGGAACCCUGAUCCAGCCAUGCCGCGUGUGUGAAGAAGGCCUUUUGGUUGUAAAGCACUUUAAGCGAGGAGGAGGCUACCGAGAUUAAUACUCUUGGAUAGUGGACGUUACUCGCAGAAUAAGCACCGGCUAACUCUGUGCCAGCCGCCGCCGUAACAC
rnacentral:rRNA from 1 species